UUUUUUAAUUAUAUUUUUGCCACAUGCGUCAUUUUUUGCGUCUUUCACGCAUCAUGUGAACAGGUCAAACGCAGCCAUAUGGGAUCACAGAUGUCUAUACUAUACUAGAUUGCUAACUUCGAUCUUUGACCUAUACAAGAGCUGUGUCCCGCUUAUUUUCCGGUUCGGCCAUGAAGACCGCCAAAACAUGGCGGCAGUGUGUGUUUGUAGUGCGUACGUGAGUAUCUGAUGCGUGUGUAGUAGUGCUGUACUGUAAGUAUGUGAUACCUGAUGUGUCUACACUGAUGUGUCGUAUCUACUUAUAUUAGUAAAACUGCAAAUAUAUAAACGAGAUAAUGCCAAGUACAUGUUGCAUUGUUAAUUGCAAUAAUACGAAUAAAAAAGGAUAUCACUUAUUUAAAUUUGCAGUUUUACUAACAUAAAUAGUAGUAGACACAUCAGGUGUCACAUACGCACUACCACGCACUACUACAUACGCAUCGGGUAUUCACAUACACACUACAAACACACACCGCCGCCAUGCUUGGCGGUCUUCAUGGCCGAACCGGAAAAUGGGCGGGACACAGCUCUUUUGAGAAGUUAGCAAUCUAGUAUAGUAUAGACAUCUGUGUAUGGGAUAGAAAAAUACGGGAGAGCGUUGAUUGGCUGUUCGAAUCACGCAUCCUCCGUCCCGCAUGUUCAUUUCCGUACCAUGUGAUCGUACCCUAAGAGUAUGGACACCCGUAUGUCAGAGUUUUGAUUGGUUCCGCCAUGUUUGGGUUCGUUUCCGGUAAAGGUCCGUGCACAAUGCUAGGCAACAGGCAGUAGAAACAGGGAAUAGGACCUUAAAAGUGUGUUAAAAGAAAAUAUCAAGAUGCCAAAAUGUGUUGCCAAAAGUUGUAAAAGUGCAUCUACUAAAGGAAUUAAAAUGUGUUCCUUUUCACAAGAAAGGGAAAUAUAAAUAUUGUGGAUAAAAAAUGAAAGAUCGAAGUAACGGGCAGCUGAAAAAGGAUUCACGUUUAUGUGAGUUUCAUUUUGCUAAUGAUCAGUGGGAAACAAUAAGAGUCGAUGGCACCAAAAAAUUAAAAUGGAAAGCUGUACCAACAUUAUUGGGGAAGAUACUCAAAUUCGAAUAGAUAACUAUCUAUCCAGGAAGAGAGUUUAUCAACAAGUGAAAACAUAAAUCAAGUGAAUACAAAUGCAAACAAGAUGUUGGAGUUACCAAUAGAUACAACAAAGAUGUCGGCACAAUAUAACAGUAUAGAACAGAAAGGUGAAAAUGUACAAACUGAAGAAACUGAGACUGAAGUUGGAUCUAUUCAACAGUUGACAUUAAGUCAUUCAAAAACAAUUCCUGAGUAUGAGCAAAGAUUAGAAAAAUUAGAAAAAACAUUUGCUUCAAAGUGAGAGGAGCAGAAGAGGAAUGGUGAAACAGUUGCGGAACAUGAAAAUAAAACUGAAGAGACUACAGCAAGAAGUACGAACAAUGAAACAUAUAAAAAUAUUAAAUACGUUUUUUAAUGAAAAUCAAAUUAAAUUUAUUACUAACGCUUAUAAAAAAAUGCCAUGUUGGUGUAAUGAUAUUAAUCAUAUAUUAAUCAAGGUAUAUUAAUCAAGGCUUAUCGCUUAAAAUUUGCUUGCGGAUCGCAUAGGUAUGAAUAAUUACUCCGAAAUAAUUUCUCAUUGCCUUCUCUUCGAACUCUAACUCGCCAUUCAGAACAUUUAAAGUUUUUACCUGGUGUCUCUGAAGAAAUAUUUAAGUUUUUAGAGCUUAAAAUAGCUCAAUUUCAAAAUAACAUAAACAAAGAUUGCAUUGUUAUCAUGGAUGAAUAUAACACCUGGAAAAUUUUAUUGUACGUCAUCAAAUAUAAUUUUUGGUGAAUUUACAAUACCAAGUACAAGUGAGAGUAAUAUACAAAUGAGUAUUCAUUGCGAAAAAUCUAUUGCAAGUCAUGCAAUAGUGUUUUUACUUGGUGGAAUUGCUAGUCGAUGGAAACAGGUUGCUGCAUAUGAAUUUCUUAUAUCUGACUCCAUACAUAGCCGAGUUUUUAAAUCCAUCCAGAUACAGUUCCUGCACGGCACCAGAAAAGGAAAGAAAUAUUGUUUAUAUUAUACUUUAUGACGUUUUCUUAACAUCUCCAAUGUCAACGCGAUUAUCAUUAAGUUACUUUAUUACUUUGCUAUUUGUGAAAUUGUAUUAUCAUCAUGUAGGAAAAAUAUAUCUUUUAUAUAAAAUAAUAA